UCGCGAGAAACUCCCCUCCCGCUCAGUGCCCGCAGCCGCCCGUCAGCCUCCUCCUGCCGCUGCUGGGCUGGCUGCCCGGCGCCAUGCGUGCGCCCCGCACCGAGCUGCCACACGGGGUGGGGGUGGGGGGAGUGCCUGCCUGCCUGCCUGACUCUCUCGGCGCUGGCUCCCGGGCACCUGCCGGCGGCCGAGGCUCCCCUGCAGGUUCAGCUCCGCCUUGCCCUCUUCGGCAGCCGCUGGAAGCGCCUGGAGGCUUUGGGACCGGACAGCGGCUCUGCCUCUCGCCCGCGAGUGGCGCGGCGGUGAGUCUCAAGUGCGGGGCUCGCUCUGCAAAGUCGCCUUUCCUGCAGGAGUUAUUGCUAAGAAAAAUAUUGGGGGAAAGCAUUCCCACUAAAAAUCCAAGGAGCCACAAUGCUAGAUUAUAACAGAAAAAUGUCUCUCGGUGUCCACUUUAAAAGUUAACCCCACGCACCCAAAGUCACAGUAAUGACCAAAUCCUGCUCAUGUGACUUAUAGAAGUAAUCCCAUUUACUUCAGGGAGACCACCUACUUGACUAAGUUUCUUCUGGAGUUGCAAGGAACUCUAUUUAAAAUGCUGCCUGAGUAGUCCUCACAUUGGGGUGUGUCUGAGAAGCCACAUAUUGCCUAUGUUACUGCAUGGGCACACAGAUCUGGUCACUGACCCUCUGCUGAUGUCUUAUGAUCAGGAACACGGGAAUUGCCAUGCCAAAUUAGACUGAUGGUCCAGCUAGUGCAGCAUUCUGUCUCAGACAGAGCCCGGUCUGAGAUGUUUCACAGGAAGGUGCAAGGAACCCCUACAGGAUGUGGCCUCCAUAUCUGCUCUGAUCUGUGGAGAAGAACCAACACCGAAAGGCCGCCUGUGUGCAGAGAUGUGACUAAGGACUGCCAGCAUCAUCCCUGACACCACUUCCCCAUCUCCACAGGGCUCAGGUAAAUUGAUUGGAUUAAAUGAGUUGAAUGAAGUGGCUGAACAACCUGCAAGAUGAAUGGAUUUAAGCCUUUCCCACUCUCUUGUCCAAACAGCUAUUGCAGCGCUGGUGCAAUAGAUGCCACAAACAUGGCAGCUAACACGUGCAGGAUUUGCAUAAAGUUGUUUUAUGUUUUCAGUGAUAAAUUUUAUUAGCACAUCAUCAGCAUUAAACAAUAAUAUAAUAUCAAUUUAUAACAUGUAUAACUAUGUAACUGGCCAUCACUAAUAGAUGUAGGGCCCUAUCUUGACAGCUUUCUACACGUGGGAUCCUAUUGACUUCACUGGGGAUUUUGCAAACAGAGGGUCCUAAGUCUGCCAGUGAUGCUUGAUUAAACAUCAAAUGAUAAAAUGUACAGCUAAUACAUUAUAGUAGGUCCCACACCACAUCAUCAGGUAUUCUGUAUAUACCACUAAUCUUAUAGAAUCAUUAUUUCAGAAUCGUUUUAAAGGUUGUUUUUUUAAUGUAUUAGUAUCGCUUUAACAUCCCUCUGCCUGUAAGGACUGGCAUCCUUGGUAGUACUGUGUGUCCAUCAAUGCAAGUCUCACAGGUAGCGAAAAAUUAUAACUAGACAACUUUAGAAGCCUCUAGAAAUUACUGAAAAUAGAUUUUCUUUAUUUAAUAAUGUUAUAACUUUAAGGUCUGAGAUCUCAGGACCGGUCAAGACUGGAAGCAAAUGCUAUAUUUCCUGCUGGGAAACUAUUAAUCUGCCCUCCUGUUUCUAGCUCUGAGCUCAUUAAGAGGGUCAUUUUCAGAGACCCUGAGUGAAAUCCUGUCCUUGUGAAGUUAAUGUCAAAACUCUCUUCGACUCCAAUGGCAAAAUUCCCAUUGACUUCUAAGGGUCCAGAAUUGAAUUCCUUAAGUCUACAACAUUCUUAAUUAAAUAUCUGUACAAUUUAUAAAUGGAUUAUAUUAUUUUAAAAGAGUAAAGUGAUAAAGAUGAUCUUACAUACUAGAAGUGAAAUAAAUGACCAAUCCAAAUAUUCUUAUAAAUAAUAUUUAGAUAUCGGGGGAUAAAUAAUUUUUGGUGUGGUAUCACUUACACUAAAUUUGUGUUGGUAUCAAAAGUGACUAUUUUUAAAGAGUUUAAGCCUUUUUGGUUUUUUCCUCAUUUGAAUUCCUUUAUUUCUUAGAGCAGAAAAAACAUUAUUUAAGUACAGUUUGGACACAAUUUUCAUAUCUGAGAUUCUGGAAUUAUGAUUAGUAAAUUACCUAGAUCUUUCUCAUUUUCUUUAAAAUUUAACUUUUGAGUUGGGGAAAAUGAACCAUUUUUGCAAUUAUGUAGCUUUAAGGACUUUCACAAAAUAAAAUUUAAUUGACAAU